GCUUGUCUCAAAGAUUAAGCCAUGCAUGUCUAAGUAUAAACAACUUUAUACUGUGAAACUGCGAAUGGCUCAUUAUAUCAGUUAUAGUUUAUUUGAUGGUCCUUGCUACUUGGAUAACCGUAGUAAUUCUAGAGCUAAUACAUGCAUUAAACCCCGACUUCUGGAAGGGGUGUAUUUAUUAGAUGGAAACCAAUGCGGGGCAACCCGGAUUCUGGUGAUUCAUAAUAACUUUCGGAUCGAUCCUCGGAUCGAUGCAUCAUUCAAGUUUCUGCCCUAUCAGCUUUGGAUGGUAGGGUAUUGGCCUACCAUGGCUUUAACGGGUAACGGAGAAUUAGGGUUCGAUUCCGGAGAGGGAGCCUGAGAAAUGGCUACCACAUCCAAGGAAGGCAGCAGG
rnacentral:rRNA from 1 species